GUUUUAUCAUGAUGAAUUUUUAUAUUUCCUUGUUGUGUGCCAAACUCCAAGAAUACUGUAGUCUGUAUCUUUUCAAAAGCCAGACACUACAAAAUAAAAAGAAACUGUCGGACCAAAAAGUAGCGGCAUAUGAAAUAGGGCAGGCAGCCUCCUCCCAUGAUAGUUUUGGCAACCUUGGUUUAUCCUCGACGAAGAAGACUAACCCCAAAGCAAAUUGCGCACACAAUGUCGGAUAAGGUAAAGGCACACUUUGUAGACCCUUCUGGCCUUGCCAACUUUGGCAGCCAUCCAAAAAUUGAGAAAGGUAUAGAACAAGAACAAACGAAGCCGCACUCUUUGGGUAGCAAUUCAACUGCGGCUGGUGGCAAAAAACAAAUCUUUAGCUUUCUGAUAUGAGGUUGGUAUCAAUGAAUGUGAUAGUAGGAUCCAAAUUAGGCUCUGCAAAUGAGUUUUUCAUUGACUUGUUGAUUGUUUGACUCUCUUUGCAUAUGGAUGGACGUCUUCUUCUCUUCUCUUCUAUUGAGCUGGGUUAGGGAGUUCGGAAGAG
rnacentral:lncRNA from 1 species